rnacentral:rRNA from 1 species
UACAGAGGUCUCGAGCGUUAGUCGGAUUCAUUGGGCUUAAAGCGUACGUAGGCGGAUAUGCAGGCGUCGUGUGAAAGCCCUCGGCUCAACCGAGGAAUUGCACGGCGAACCGCAUGUCUUGAGAUCGGUAGGGGCGGUCGGAACGAUAGGUGGAGUGGUGAAAUGCGUUGAUAUCUAUCGGAACGCCGAAGGUGAAAACAGGCCGCUGGGCCGAUUCUGACGCUGAGGUACGAAAGCGUGGGGAGCAAACGGG